GACGAACCUUGCUACCGUUAUUCGGAAUUACUGGGCUUAAAGGGUGCGUAGGCGGUGCGGAAAGUUGGGUGUGAAAUCCCUCGGCUCAACCGAGGAAUUGCGCCCAAAACUGCCGCACUAGAGGAAGACAGAGGUACGCGGAACUUAGGGUGGAGCGGUGAAAUGCGUUGAUAUCCUAAGGAACACCGGCGGCGAAAGCGGCGUACUGGGUCUUAUCUGACGCUGAGGCACGAAAGCUAGGGGAGCGAACGGG
rnacentral:rRNA from 1 species